GAUGAACGCUGGCGGCGUGCCUAAUACAUGCAAGUCGAGCGAACGGACGAGAAGCUUGCUCUUCUGAUGUUAGCGGCGGACGGGUGAGUAACACGUGGAUAACCUACCUAUAAGACUGGGAUAACUUCGGGAAACCGGAGCUAAUACCGGAUAAUAUUUUGAACCGCAUGGUUCAAAAGUGAAAGACGGUCUUGCUGUCACUUAUAGAUGGAUCCGCGCUGCAUUAGCUAGUUGGUAAGGUAACGGCUUAACAAGGCAACGAUGCAUAGCCGACCUGAAAGGGUGAUCGGACACACGGGAACUGAGACAGGGUCGAGACUCCUACGGGAGGAAGCAGUAGGGAAUCUUACGCAAUGGGGGAAAGCCUGACGGAGCAACGCCGCGUGAGUGAUGAAGGUCUUCGGAUGGGAAAACUCUGUUAGUAGGGAAGAACAAAUGCGUAAGUAACUGUGCACAUCUUGACGGUACCUAAUCAGAAAGCCACGGCUAACUACGUG
rnacentral:rRNA from 1 species